AAACUUUGUUUUUCUUAAGAGCAUAUAAAUCUUUUGUUUUUCUUAAAGAUUUCUGUGGAGAAAAACAACUUUGAGUUUUAAACAAAAUUUUUGAGGCCUUGUUUCAGCAAGGCU